GAUGAAGAACGUAGCGAAAUGCGAUAAGUAGUGUGAAUUGCAGAAUUCAGUGAAUCAUCGAAUCUUUGAACGCACAUUGCGCCCCUUGGUAUUCCAUGGGGCAUGCCUGUUCGAGCGUCAUUUGUACCUUCAAGCUUUGCUUGGUGUUGGGUGUUUGUCUCGCCUUUGCGUGUAGACUCGCCUUAAAAUAAUUGGCAGCCGGCGUAUUGAUUUCGGAGCGCAGUACAUCUCGCGCUUUGCACUCAUAACGACAGCGUCCAAAAGUACAUUUUACACUCUUGACCUCGGAUCAGGUAGGGAUACCCGCUGAACAUAAGCAUAUCAAUAAGCGGAGGA
rnacentral:misc_RNA from 1 species